AACGAACGCUGGCGGCAGGCUUAACACAUGCAAGUCGAGCGCCCCGCAAGGGGAGCGGCAGACGGGUGAGUAACGCGUGGGAAUCUACCCAUCUCUACGGAAUAACGCAUGGAAACGUGUGCUAAUACCGUAUACGUCCUUCGGGAGAAAGAUUUAUCGGAGAUGGAUGAGCCCGCGUUGGAUUAGCUAGUUGGUGGGGUAAAGGCCUACCAAGGCGACGAUCCAUAGCUGUUACUAGAGGAUGAUAAGCAAAGCUGGGACUGAGACACGGCCCAGACGCCUAGGGGAGGCAGCAGUGGGGAAUAUUGGACAAUGGGCGAAAGCCUGAUCCAGCCAGGCCGCGUGAGUGAUGAAGGCCCUAGGGUUGUAAAGCUCUUUCACCGGUGAAGAUAAUGACGGUAACCGGAGAAGAAGCCCCGGCUAACUUCGUGCCAGCCGCCGCAGUAAAAC
rnacentral:rRNA from 1 species